CCUACGGGUGGCAGCAGUAGGGAAUAUUGCUCAAUGGGGGAAACCCUGAAGCAGCAACGCCGCGUGGAGGAUGAAGGUUUUAGGAUUGUAAACCCCUUUUGUUAGAGAAGAUUAUGACGGUAUCUAACGAAUAAUCACCGGCUAACUCCGUGCCAGCAGCCGCGGGAAUACGGAGGGUUCAAGCGUUACUCGGAAUCACUGGGCGUAAAGAGUGCGUAGGCGGGGUAAUAAGUCAGAUGUGAAAUCCUGUAGCUUAACUAGAGAACUGCAUUUGCAACUGUUACUCUGGAGUGUGGGAGGGGUAGGUGGGAUUCUUGGUGGAGGCGUAGAAACCG
rnacentral:rRNA from 1 species